rnacentral:rRNA from 1 species
GGAGGAAAGCAGGGGAUCGCAGGACCUUGCGCUUUUGGAGCGGCCGAUGUCUGAUUAGCUUGUUGGUGAGGUAAAAGCUUACCAAGGCUUCGAUCAGUAGCUGGUCUGAGAGGACGACCAGCCACACUGGGACUGAGACACGGCCCAGACUCCUACGGGAGGCAGCAGUGGGGAAUUUUGGACAAUGGGGGCAACCCUGAUCCAGCCAUGCCGCGUGAGUGAAGAAGGCCUUCGGGUUGUAAAGCUCUUUCAGCCGGAACGAAACGGUUACGGUUAAUACCCGUGACUACUGACGGUACCGGAAGAAGAAGCACCGGCUAACUACGUGCCAGCAGCCGCGGUAAUACGUAGGGUGCGAGCGUUAAUCGGAAUUACUGGGCGUAAAGCGUGCGCAGGUGGUUUUGUAAGUCAGAUGUGAAAUCCCCGGGCUCAACCUGGGAACUGCGUUUGAAACUACAAAGCUAG